rfam:Gossypium hirsutum cultivar TM-1 chromosome 12, whole genome shotgun sequence
UAUUAAAAAAAAUCAUCCAUUUCUAUUGUUAAAAACUGGAGUGGUUGAAAGAAUAAUCAAAUAGUUACAUGUAGAAUGCCAGAUGUACCUCAUUAUGACAUAUAAGACUCAAUUUUAACAAUAGAAAUAGAUGGAAUAUUUAACA